UACGGAGGGUGCAAGCGUUAUCCGGAUUCACUGGGUUUAAAGGGUGCGUAGGCGGGCAGGUAAGUCCGUGGUGAAAUCUCUGAGCUUAACUCAGAAACUGCCAUGGAUACUAUUUGUCUUGAAUAUUGUGGAGGUAAGCGGAAUAUGUCAUGUAGCGGUGAAAUGCUUAGAUAUGACAUAGAACACCAAUUGCGAAGGCAGCUUACUACACAGUUAUUGACGCUGAGGCACGAAAGCGUGGGAUCAAACAGG
rnacentral:rRNA from 1 species